rnacentral:rRNA from 1 species
UAGAGCUCGUAGGCGGUUUGUCGCGUCUGCUGUGAAAGACCGGGGCUCAACUCCGGUUCUGCAGUGGGUACGGGCAGACUAGAGUGCAGUAGGGGAGACUGGAAUUCCUGGUGUAGCGGUGAAAUGCGCAGAUAUCAGGAGGAACACCGAUGGCGAAGGCAGGUCUCUGGGCUGUAACUGACGCUGAGGAGCGAAAGCAUGGGGAGCGAACAGGAUUAGAUACCCUGGUAGUCCAUGCCGUAAACGUUGGGCACUAGGUGUGGGGGACAUUCCACGUUUUCCGCGCCGUAGCUAACGCAUUAAGUGCCCCGCCUGGGGAGUACGGCCGCAAGGCUAAAACUCAAAGGAAUUGACGGGGGCCCGCACAAGCGGCGGAGCAUGCGGAUUAAUUCGAUGCAACGCGAAGAACCUUACCAAGGCUUGACAUGAACCGGUAAUACCUGGAAACAGGUGCCCCGCUUGCGGUCGGUUUACAGGUGGUGCAUGGUUGUCGUCAGCUCGUGUCGUGAGAUGUUGGGUUAAGUCCCGCAACGAGCGCAACCCUCGUUCUAUGUUGCCAGCGGUUCGGCCGGGGACUCAUAGGAGACUGCCGGGGUCAACUCGGAGGAAGGUGGGGACGACGUCAAAUCAUCAUGCCCCUUAUGUCUUGGGCUUCACGCAUGCUACAAUGGCCGGUACAAAGGGUUGCGAUACUGUGAGGUGGAGCUAAUCCCAAAAAGCCGGUCUCAGUUCGGAUUGGGGUCUGCAACUCGACCCCAUGAAGUCGGAGUCGCUAGUAAUCGCAGAUCAGCAACGCUGCGGUGAAUACGUUCCCGGGCCUUGUACACACCGCCCGUCAAGUCACGAAAGUUGGUAACACCCGAAGCCGGUGGCCUAACCCUUGUGGGGGAGCCGUCGAAGUGGGACCGGCGAUUGGACUAAGUCGUACAAAGGUAGUCU